GACGAACCGUGCAAACGUUGUUCGGAAUCACUGGGCUUAAAGGGCGCGUAGGCGGCAGACCAAGUCCGGGGUGAAAUCUUUCGGCUUAACCGGAAAAGGGCCUUGGAUACUGGUUUGCUAGAGGGAGGUAGGGGUCUGUGGAACUUCUGGUGGAGCGGUGAAAUGCGUUGAUAUCAGAAGGAACGCCGGUGGCGAAAGCGACGGACUGGAUCUCUUCUGACGCUGAGGCGCGAAAGCCCAGGGGGAGGCAAACGGG
rnacentral:rRNA from 1 species